UACGUAGGGUGCAAGCGUUUGUCCGGAAUUAUUGGGCGUAAAGAGCUCGUAGGCGGUCUGUCGCGUCUGCUGUGAAAACCUAGGGCUUAACUCUGGGCGUGCAGUGGGUACGGGCAGGCUAGAGUGCGGUAGGGGAGACUGGAAUUCCUGGUGUAGCGGUGAAAUGCGCAGAUAUCGGGAGGAACACCGGUGGCGAAGGCGGCGAUCUGGGUAGAUACUGACGCUGAGGUGCGAAAGCGUGGGGAGCAAACAGG
rnacentral:rRNA from 1 species